UAUAAGAGACCCCAAUCAUCUAGGCCAUGACUUUCUUUAAUAUGCACGAAGCCUAGACAACAUUCAUCAUCACCAUUAACUCAAUUUCUUGAGAGCCCUCAAGGAUGGCAAAAGCAUACCUAUCCAAAAGUGAAAGAUACAGAAAUCAGGUGGUGAAGAAGCUUGGUCUACGGGGUCUGUUUACUCGUGCUCUCCACUGCGCAUUGCCAUGAUGGCAAACAUUCACCGAUGCUUUUAGGGUUUUUGUACGCCUACGGUUGGUCAAUGUACCAUCUAGGAGGAAUCUGUCUCUCCUUGCACCUCUUGGCACCAGAGUCUGAAAAUGAGCUAAACUUUAUUUAUUGUGGUUAAUCUUUCCAAAAGAAAGAAAGCAAUGUUGAUGCCUGAAAUUUUGUAUGGUGGAACUGGCAGAGCAUCAUUUGUUCAGAGAGUGGCAGAUUAAUGCUUCAAACUACUUGUUUGUUCAUUUUUAAUAUAAAAUGUCUUCUUAUUAAUAUUUGCUAUCGUUAUCAUUAACACAGGCUAGCAAUCAGGUUCGUCAUUUUCAUGAUACUAAGAUGGGUCACUUGAGGAAGAAAAAGCGAAGAGGAAGGAACAAGAAAGGAUCUAAUUCAUGGUUGGAAGCCUGCAAUGGGGGAUUUCAGGCUCAUGCAUUCAAGGAGAGAUUCUGAUCUUCCUAUGUGUGCUUCUCAUAUUCACUGUUGAUGUCUUUAAAUAUCAGUAGAUUAUAUCAAUGUAAUAGAGGUAACCAUCAGGUUUACAGAAGUAUCCUUUCAAAAAAGGAAGAGAAAGCUUCAGCC